UAGACUGCCUAUUCAUGUAGUACAAGUUAGACGAAUAUUAAGGUCAAUAGAUAGGUUUCAAUUCAGUGGAGGUCGGGGUGUUAUACCUGCUUACGAGAAUUUCAUGCAUUAUUUCCAAGCAAUUGAUUGGAAGGAACCUUGGAUUAUGGGAUUAAUUGCGUUUCAUGCUCUGGUGCUAAUUGUGAAGGUCUCAACUUCCAUAUGUUCUUGUUCUUAUUGGUUUAAGCUCCCUUUCGUUCUGAUCUACAUAUCUUUUCCUUGUAGACUAGCAUGGUAGACUACAAACAAUUAUUUGGACGUCUCAGGGUCCAUGGUUAGAGAGUACACCAUCCAUAGGGAGUAAGGGUUUACAAGGGUCAUUG